CUCAAAAUAAAUAACUGUAAAACUUUCUGAGGGUUUUAACAAACUUCCUCAAGAUGUGAAUUGUAAAUGAAGUCUUUUUGACUAAUUAGACUUUUUGGUUGGUAUGUUAAAUUACUUGGAAAGAACUCUCAAAUAAUGAUAAACCUUAGGUUGUAUUGCUUGGGUCAAUGCUGUAACUGUUCAAAUAUAUAUGUGAAAUUCCUGCAGUUUUAAUAUGCUUUGAUCAUAAGGUUAUGACUUGAUAUUCUGAUUAUUGAAGUGUUCUGUGUUACAGAAAUAACUGAAUUUUCUUGUCAAGUGCAUUACAGUCUUUUGUCACUUGCAAAAUGAGUUUCAUCUUCAAGGAGGCUCAUAAAAAGAACUUUAAAAAAAACAAAUACAGCUUUUUGAUAUCUUUAAAAUCAUAAAAGUGAAAUGGGCAACAAUUUCUAGAACUAAAAAGCUGCAUUCAAACUGAACAAAAGAUUACUAACAUGACACUAAGUGAACUGAAAAAAAUUGUAAUUUUUAUGACUUUUGUUUGGAACAUUACUGGUUCUCUAAUGUUUGCUCUUCCAGAUUGGGAAGAGCUCAGGCUCACACAACAGGAAAAGAAGGUCUUGACCUUACAAAGACUUGACCUUGCAUGUGGAUACUAAUCGACUACUCCAGCCAGAGGGACGAAACUCUUUCCUCACUACCGCCAUCUCUGCAACAGCUCAGACAAUGAGAAGCCACCACAUUUCAAACCACCAUUUUACACCAAUGGACUUUUAAUCGGACUUUCCUACUUACCCUUUUUCUCCUUAAAAAAAGCAUCCCCCCCCCCCGACUUUGUUUCCUGUCCUUGCUUAUGGUUUUGCCACGGCUUGUAUGUCCCAGAGUACAAUUUUUCAUUCCUGAAUAAAACCAUCUUCUUCUGGUAAAAUAACUGGCAGUUUCUAUUUUUAAGGUUAACAAUUCUUGGUGAUCAGAAGUGGGCUCCAGAGAAGACCCCAACUGCUCCAGAGCUGGCUAGCCAACAGAAUUUAUGGAUCAAAAUCAUCCCAACUUUUCAGAAUGCAUCCCACAGGAGUAUUGGCCUUGGUUGGAGAAUUGCCCAUCUAUAGGAAAAGGAGGAAGAGGCACCCCUUAUGUUAAUUGUCCCAUAGCUGGCCAGGAGAAGCUUCAUGUCCUGAUCCUGAUAGUUGGACAGGAGAAGAAGCCUCAUCUCCUGGCCCUGCAUUUUGCCUGGCUACUCCACUGGCAGCCAAAAGCUUUGUCAGUCUCGUGAGGUGCUGGGAGCAGUCACUCUUGUCCAAGUUGACCCUACCUCCAAGAACUGACCUUGUCUUCCCUGAUUUCUCCUAUCGCUCUGUUUUCUGCCUGCAGGACUUUGGGGGUAUCGACUACGACCAAGCAAGACUUCCCUGGUUUAGAAGGAUGCACUCAUUUUAUUUUGGCCCAAGAAUAAUCAUCUUUACAAAUAUAUUUUAAAAGGCUUGUGAAAACCAUUUUUUGUAAGGAUAAAAUUGGCUGCCCAGAGGGCUAAAAGGGCCAAAGGAGAGGUCUAUUUCCUUGCCUUUUUCAGCAGUGCCCACAGAAAUGUGUUCUAGCCAUUUCGAGUAUCUAGGCUGUUACAAAUUGGAGGACACUGGGCUAAGUGUAGCAAAAUGGCUCCUGUGUAUUCUAGUGAAAGCCCUUUAUAUAUUAUAGUGAUCUAUCCCUUAAAUGGCACAGGCAUCCAUUCCUGUUCGAAACAGAAACAACCCAAAUAUGGAGCAUUUGGAGUCUGGCAGCGAGGACACUGUCACCAUCUCCCCAGCCUUUGGAUCAAAGGAGGGCACAUUUCAAGGCUUGAGUAAAACAAAUCAAAAGGG